UGGGGAAUAUUGGACAAUGGGCGAAAGCCUGAUCCAGCCAUGCCGCGUGUGUGAAGAAGGCCUUUUGGUUGUAAAGCACUUUAAGCGAGGAGGAGGCUACUUGGAUUAAUACUCUAGGAUAGUGGACGUUACUCGCAGAAUAAGCACCGGCUAACUCUGUGCCAGCAGCCGCGGUAAUACAGAGGGUGCGAGCGUUAAUCGGAUUUACUGGGCGUAAAGCGUGCGUAGGCGGCUUCUUAAGUCGGAUGUGAAAUCCCUGAGCUUAACUUAGGAAUUGCAUUCGAUACUGGGAAGCUAGAGUAUGGGAGAGGAUGGUAGAAGUCCAGGUGUAGCGGUGAAAUGCAUAGAGAUCUAGAGGAAUACCGAUGGCGAAGGCAGCCAUCUGGCCUAAUACUGACGCUGAGGUACGAAAGCAUGGGGAGCAAACAGG
rnacentral:rRNA from 1 species